GCUUUGCCCUGCAGGUGGUGUCUGCAGACUCUGCAGAAAUCACAGAACUCUUCACGCUUUGGACUUCUCUGAUGGUCAGACGGUAAAGCGUCUGUCUACAAUGCGGGAGACCCAGGUUUGAUUCCUGGGUUGGGACGAUCCCUGGAGAAGAAAAUGGCAAUCCACUCCAGGACUAUUGCCUGGAAAAUCCCAUGGACAGAGGAGCCUGGUAGGCUACAGUCCAUGGGGUCACAAAGAGUCGGACACAACUAAGUGACUUCACUUUCUUUCACGCUUUGGGCAGCCAUCACGGUAGGUACACAGGUAGGUACACGCGAGGAGAAGUGAGCUUGUCACUGUGACCCCCGCCUUGGAGCGGCCGGAGCCAGCUGCUGCGCGAUGGGGGCGUCGGCAGGUGGAGGAGAGGGUACUCAAGGGGGCCGCCUGAUGCCCGAAGGCUCAGACGUGCCUGCGACUGGCUCCAUCAGGAGGAAACUUGGAGCCCGGGCAGAGGCAGGGUCCUGCUCUGUGCAGGGUCCCCAGGUCCCGGGGGGUGCAGGUCCUGGUCUGUGUGGGGUCUCCAGAUCCUGGGGGUGGUGUUCCUGGUCUGUGCGGGGUCCCCAGGUCCUGGGGGGAUCCUGGUUUGUGCGGGGUCCCCAGGUCCUUGGGGGGGUUCCUGGUCUGUGCAGGGUCCCUGGGUCCUGGGGGUGGGGGGCGGGUCCUGGUCUGUGUGGGGUCCGAGAGCAGCAGGAAGCUGGCUCUCACAAGGAGAGGAACUGCCGGGCUUUGUCCGGGAGCCUUGGUCUGUGCUAUGGGCCUGUGUGUGGCUCCCUUGUCAACACGGAUGCGUGUCCACCAGGUCUGGUGGCCCAGACCACAGGGUGAGAGCCGCCUUCACAUCCGUCUGCAGGUCUUAGUCUGGGUCUCCUGCAAAACCGGCCACUUGGCACGGGAACCGGUUAGCGGCCACUCGGCAGGCGUCAGCCCUGUAGACGUUGCUCCCAGGACGCCGAGGACCCUGGGCGUCUCCACUGCCUUGGUGGCAGCUGUCACAGGACCCGGCGGGCGAGCAGGCCCGGAGAGACGCCCCAGCCUUUGGGCGUCAGCAUCGCUCCCCAGAGCAGACCAGCCGCUCCUGUCUCAGGGCUUCCUCGUGGGCUGAUGGGGAUUCUGAUGCCGGUGCGCUUCCUCCAUGGGCUGCUUUCUUCCUGAUUCAGCUUCUCACACACGGUCCCCUGACUGUUCAAGGAGACUCAACGUUUCUUUUAUUAAACCAAGUAAUUUCUCCCA
ensembl:lncRNA